CCCGAGCCGGCCCGGCUUCCCGCGCGACGCGACUCCGCUCCUCCGGGUGUUCACUGCGGCCGGGGGGGCGGGCCGGCCGGGCGGGGUCCGCGGGGGGCUCCUCCCGGGACCGAGCGGGACCCCGAACCAAGGGACAGUCGCAGUUUGGGCCCCUUGAAUUUUACUUUCAAGUAAUGGGAAACUGAGGAGGCGGGCGCUUUCCCCAGCGUUUUUAGGGGCCCACUAAGUAAGGCCUAGCGGGAGCCAGAUUUUACAAUCUGGGACGGUAAAUCCCUUGGGGCAGGGCCGGAGACGGGAGCCGCUAGAGCUGGUCACAAAGCAGGGAACGCAAACUCAGCCUGCUGGAAGCCAGGCACGAGUUUGCGAACUACUACUGGAUUCUUUUUCCCACCAAGCCCAAGGGCUGCGACACUUGGGAUUAAUGCCCAAUGGAUCAUUCCUAGGAAACGGCCGACCUGACUAUUCGGCCCAUUUUCAAACCUCUAACCAUAGACUCUCAUCUUUCUCCCACAACAGAAAAAAAAAGCCUCUGGCGACGCCUGGGAGCGCGACGGAGGCGCAAGAGCUCUAACCGCGCGAGGUGAAAACUCCGACUGCGUCAGAGCCGCCCCGCCCCGCCUGGGGCCCACCUUCCGCCGCCCCUCCGAGCUGCGGCGAAAACCCGGAGAGCGGCUAGGCCGGGGUCGGAGCCCGCGCAUGCCCAGUAGCCCCACGUGGUGCAAGUCGCCUGAAGGAAGGUUUUCCUCUGCUCCCCGAGCGAAGCCCCAGCGCCCAAGUUAGGAUGGACAGCGGGGAGAGCUGGCCUUCCCGCCCCGAUGCCCGCCGUCCCUGGCCGGCCCGCGCCGCACCUCGGUGGCCUACAGGCAGCCCGAGGCCGUGCCUCCCGCGGGGUCGGGGACUUGGCGAGCGGGGGAAGGGGCGCGGCUACGGGCCCGGCGUACCACGUGACUGUCCGCGGCGCUCCGGGCAGCCAUCUUCCGCCCGGCCAUCGGGCCGCGGGCGCUCGGAACCGACCUGGGAGCUGGCGGGACCGUCCUCCCCCGCCACGCCCUCCCAUCGGGCUUUGGGCGCCGGACUCUGGCCACCGCUCGGCACCUGCCUCCGCCUCGCCUUGGGGUAUAGGAGUCCUGUACCGACCCCUGGCUUGCCCAGAGGACAGGUUCUCGCCCGGGCCAGAAGCAAACUGCGGCGAAAUCGAGACAACAGAACUCAGGUGGCGGAGGGUCCCCGCUUUUCCCCAGAGGCGGAAGUUGGCGAGGGAGUCCUCUUCCGUUAUCCAGCGAGAGCGCUGCUCUGGCUGCCUCCCGGUUCUAACCUAGUCCCUGCAGAGGAGUGAUGUACCGGCAGGGACAUUGGACAGAGGCCGUGCUCUUCCCUGCAGCGCAUACCCCGCGGCCCCUGCUGGUGGGCCGCUUCGAUGGUGCUGAGGUUCAUAGUGAAUAUUUAUUGAGCGCCUGCCUCGAGUCCCUUGGGUUUCCUGUUGUCUCGGGACCUGCCGCGUCACUAUCACCCUAGAAUUUGUUAGAAAUGCACGUUUUCGGCCCCACCUAGACCUACAGAACCAGAAACUGCGGGUGGAGUCCUGCAAUAUGAUUAACAAAGCCCUCCGGGUAGUUGUCAUGGACGCCUCUAUAUUUCAGCUAAGCAGUCCAUUUUAAUAAGCUAGGCAGUGAAAAUUUCCAUAGUUUUCCCCAAAGCACAGUGAGGAGUCAGGGAUUCAAAAUGAGGCAAUCUGCCCCAAUGCAGGCGUUUUAUUGCACCCUCCACUCCUGGCUCCUCUGGUUUUUUCGCCCGUAAGACACAGUACUGCUCUUCUCAGGAAGAUUAGGAAAGUACAUUUGUCACAUACGCUUUUCAAGCACGGCUUUAAAAUAACAACUGAAAUUCAGUUCAACUGCAUGUUUUGAGUAUCUACUGGGAGCAAGGCUCUGUGAAGUAUAGUAGCCCUACUGGUUAUGUUUAUCAGUUUGCACCUAAAAGGUGAAAGGAAGGCUUGCUUUCUUGUGAUGUAAAUUUUUUCAAACUAAGGGAGUGCCAGAAAACUGCUGGCUGCUUUCUCUCCCGUGUUGGUUUCUCUCCAGUGCUAUCCAGAAUAUGCUGUAAGCUCUGGACUUCCUGAAACAAAGGUCCAAGUAAGCAUCUGGUCUUUGAUGUACUUUAAAAUGCACCCCACCCCCACAUGAAAGAUAACUAAAUUUUUCAAAAUAUUAAUACUUCUUGAAUGUAAAUCGUGUGUCUAAGGUACUGGCAUAAUUUUUUUUUUCAAAUUUUCUAUAUGUUUGAAAUGUUUCAUAAUAAAAUCCUUUUAAAUUUUUUUCCAUGUGUAAUUUUAGGAUGAUAUAUAUAUAGCACAUGGAAAAAAGCAGGGCAUAGAAGUAUUUCCACUUUAAUUUCAGUUUCAUAAAAUCAGAGAGAAAAAGUCAUAGAUAUAUACACCAUACAUAAAAAAUAAAAGCGUAAAUAAAUACAGAAAGAAAUCUAAAGAGAAAUCACCAUAGCAGUAAAAGUAAAUUCUGUGUGAAGUGGUUAUAAGAGACACUAAGAGUUGCCCCUCCUUGAAAUUAUAUUUAGUUAUGGUCCUUAAGUCACUAUUAUUUGUAACCAAAAAAAAAAAUUGAAUAAAAAUAGUUCUCCCUCUUUAGUCCAUCCAAUCCUAAAGAAUUUUUAUCAGUGCCCUUUCUUUUUCUUCAGAGUCACUCUGUCACCCAGGCUGGAGUGCAGUGGCACCAUCACAGCUCCCUGCAGCCUUGACUUACAGGGCUCCAGUGAUCCUCCACCCUCAGCCUCCUGAGUAUCUGAGACCACAGGUGCAAGCCACCAUGCCCAGGUAAUUUUUUAUUUUUGGCCGAGGCUGUUUCAUCAUGUUGCCCAAACUGGCCUUGAAC
rnacentral:lncRNA from 1 species